UUUUGGUAUAGUAGUUGUGACUUAUUCACACUAUAUACAUUUGGCUUCCGCAACAAGCUCCCCAUUGUUUAAUAGCCUGCAAAUCACACUAGGCAAGCCCUAUACGACAAGCUCGACCCAAAAGACAUUUAAGGGGAUCGAUCCCAGUUGUUUGCAGAAAACCAAUAAUGUCAGUGGAGCACAAAUAUUGACAAGAGUAGGAAAAUGACAAAAAAGGGCUUGCAUAACACGAAGGACAAGAAGUAAGGAAAAUCAAAUGGAAUCUUCUAUUGUCGUAUAUUACCCUACAAGGUUCAAGCUGUAAAGAAGGAUUAUUGUUGAUGUGAAGGAAGCAGACAAAGUGCUUUUGAUGAAUAUUACUUCAUGUAACUUUAUGGCUUUUAUAUUUAUAUUUUCCCACCCAGUAAAGCAUAUUGGUACUCUAAUAGUAGUUGCUGAAAGCCUCAACUAUAAAAUCUGAUCUCUUUUUUGGCUUGACUUUGCUUUCUUCCUUGUACGAUCUAUGUAAGUUUCUAAGCCUUUGACUAAUGAUACAAAAAAAAACAAAGUUAUUGUUUA